rnacentral:rRNA from 1 species
GAUGAACGCUGGCGGCGUGCCUAAUACAUGCAAGUCGAGCGAACGGACGAGAAGCUUGCUUCUCUGAUGUUAGCGGCGGACGGGUGAGUAACACGUGGAUAACCUACCUAUAAGACUGGGAUAACUUCGGGAAACCGGAGCUAAUACCGGAUGAUAUUUUGAACCGCAUGGUUCAAAAGUGAAAGACGGUCUUGCUGUCACUUAUAGAUGGAUCCGCGCUGCAUUAACUAGUUGGUAAGGUAACGGCUUACCAAGGCAACGAUGCAUAGCCGACCUGAGAGGGUGAUCGGCCACACUGGAACUGAGACACGGUCCAGACUCCUACGGGAGGCAGCAGUAGGGAAUCUUCCGCAAUGGGCGAAAGCCUGACGGAGCAACGCCGCGUGAGUGAUGAAGGUCUUCGGAUCGUAAAACUCUGUUAUUAGGGAAGAACAUAUGUGUAAGUAACUGUGCACAUCUUGACGGUACCUAAUCAGAAAGCCACGGCUAACUACGUG